AGUGUUUGAAUGUUGUAUUUGAUAAAAAAAAUUAUUUUUGAAGAGGAGCAAACACAGACAUAACAAGUUCAAAGUUUAACUUAAGAAAAAUGAGUACAACGUCCUGAUGACGUCAUCACGCGACUACCUCCCCGCGCGCUUUAAUCCGGAAAUAGCUUUGUUUGAAUAUCAAAACCGGGAAAAUGUUUGACACUAAAACCUACAAGCUAGGAUGGGUGACAGCAGAGGCAGAAACACCGCGUGUUUUUCCAAGACGAACCGCGCCAGUUUGUGCUGAAACCAAAAAACUUAACAUACACGGUAUCCAUGGUAACAAAACAACAGUUUAAGGAAAAGGUUAACAGCAAGGCAGAAAAACGCAACUUAAAUUUAGCUUCAGUCAGUAAGAGAACAAGCUCUUACGGUGGUUGAUGGUGCACAAGGAUGACUUUAAUAAAUCAGUUCCGGCCUUCUCAGAGUAGACUGAAUGCUACAAAUCCAUUGGAGCCAUGCGUGCAAAUUUUGACUGAAAUGUGGGGAGUGUGGAUGCCAAAUCAAUAUCCUCCAACACUUGAGAGACUGAGGCGUCUAAAGUGAAUCCCUGCGGCCUUGGGACUUGACAGAAGUGUGUUGCCCGCUAACACCUCCUGCCGCGUGGGUGUGAUAAACUGGCGCGCACUUCCAGACCAUCGCACGAGUGGAAACAGUUGGGCACUGCCAGAUCCUUGUCACAAGGGCCAAGUCUUGAUGUGUGUGUUAUGGCUCGUGGAAACAGCUGCUGGAAUCAUCCAGACACGAGCUGUAAAGCCCUGCUGGCAUGUGUCGCCUGCACCAGCUGGGAACACACACUUCAUUACAUGCAAGAUCUCCCGUCGAUGCAUGAAACCUUUAAAUGCAUGAUCCCUGAAUCUCCACCUUUGGGCUACAACAUGGAAUUAGUUGUUUGAGAAGCAGAGCAAUUAAUCAAACUGCUGCAAAUUAUCACAUGCUGUGUCUUUCUGCUGCGCGGGAUCAGAGCAAAGUCAAAAUUGGAUGAAGACAACAGAAUGCAUCAAAGGCAGGAGAAGACAAUUGUCAACACUUCUUCUCUCCCAACGACUGCUGGCACCCAAGAAGUGGGCGCAAAGCUAAGAGAUGUGGCAGAGCAGGAGACAGAGGAGAGAGGGGGAGAGGGCUGAGUGUCUGAGGAACGGUGCGGCUGAGUGUGUGCAGACGUGAAUAUUAAGCCUGUCUCCUUCUCCGCUGUGCUAAUGAGAGGGCCGAAAAGAACCAAGAAUAAAGAGGACCAGAGUCACGAACCGGAACAGAUGAUAAAAUCAGAGUUUAAGAAAGGUGGCACAAAAGACAGAGAGGAGGUGAAUAAGUUGAAAAGAGGAUAGAAAGAAGGUGGUAAGUAGAGAGACACAAAAGAAUAGGCCGUGGCUGCCACCCAUACCCGAUGCACAGUGCUUAGGAGACUGAAAUUGAUGAGUUCAUCUUCAUCUCAUUAUUGUCAUGAUGAAUCAGAUUGCUGACUUCCCUCAAAGGCGGCUUAAUGACUCGUUGACACAAAUCUGAAUGACUGGCUUCACCGGUGGCAUCCAUUAGUGUGCCACACAAAGCUCUGAGAUGUGCUUAAACAGAACUGAUAAUUACAAAGAGCUUUCAUCACUGUAAUGAAUGAGUACAAUAAAGGGACAACCCGUGUAGCAUUCAAUGCAUUCGGGGCGCCACCGAG